UAACACGUGGGUAACCUGCCCUUAAGUGGGGGAUAACAUUUGGAAACAGAUGCUAAUACCGCAUAGAUCCAAGAACCGCAUGGUUCUUGGCUGAAAGAUGGCGUAAGCUAUCGCUUUUGGAUGGACCCGCGGCGUAUUAGCUAGUUGGUGAGGUAAUGGCUCACCAAGGCGAUGAUACGUAGCCGAACUGAGAGGUUGAUCGGCCACAUUGGGACUGAGACACGGCCCAAACUCCUACGGGAGGCAGCAGUAGGGAAUCUUCCACAAUGGACGCAAGUCUGAUGGAGCAACGCCGCGUGAGUGAAGAAGGCUUUCGGGUCGUAAAACUCUGUUGUUGGAGAAGAAUGGUCGGCAGAGUAACUGUUGUCGGCGUGACGGUAUCCAACCAGAAAGCCACGGCUAACUACGUGCCAGCAGCCGCGGUAAUACGUAGGUGGCAAGCGUUAUCCGGAUUUAUUGGGCGUAAAGCGAGCGCAGGCGGUUUUUUAAGUCUGAUGUGAAAGCCCUCGGCUUAACCGAGGAAGCGCAUCGGAAACUGGGAAACUUGAGUGCAGAAGAGGACAGUGGAACUCCAUGUGUAGCGGUGAAAUGCGUAGAUAUAUGGAAGAACACCAGUGGCGAAGGCGGCUGUCUGGUCUGUAACUGACGCUGAGGCUCGAAAGCAUGGGUAGCGAACAGGAUUAGAUACCCUGGUAGUCCAUGCCGUAAACGAUGAAUGCUAGGUGUUUGGAAGGGUUUCCCGCCCUUCAGUGCCGCAGCUAACGCAUUAAGCAUUCCGCCUGGGGGAGUACGACCGCAAGGUUGAAACUCAAAGGAAUUGACGGGGGCCCGCACAAGCGGUGGAGCAUGUGGUUUAAUUCGAAGCAACGCGAAGAACCUUACCAGGUCUUGACAUCUUUUGAUCACCUGAGAGAUCAGGUUUCCCCUUCGGGGGCAAAAUGACAGGUGGUUGCAUGGGUUGUCGUCAGCUCCUGUCCUGAGAAGGUUGGGGUUAAGUCCCGGCAACGAGCGCAACCCUUUAUGACUAGUUGCCAGCAUUUAGUUGGGCACUCUAGUAAGACUGCCCGUGACAACCCGAGGAAAAGGGGGGGGAUGAAGUUCAAAUCUUCAUGGCCCCUAUUAACUGGGGGUACAACCUGGUUUCAAUGGAUGGGGUCAACCAAUUUUUGGAACCCCGGGGGGGGAGAUUAAUUCUUUUAAACAUUUCUCUAUUUCGACAUGAGGGGGGCAACUUCCUCUACCCAAUUCGGAAAUCCUUUUAUUUCGGAAUACACACCCCGGCGGAAAAAUUUCCGGGCCUUGGUCACCCCCCCUCACCCCCAGAUUUUUA
rnacentral:rRNA from 1 species